rnacentral:misc_RNA from 1 species
AAGUCGUAACAAGGUAACCGUAGGUGAACCUGCGGUUGGAUCAUUAAUGAAAAAUUUAUUGAUUUUUUCCUUCCCUAAUUUUAGGGAGGGGAAUAUCAUUAAACACCCUUUUUUGUGAACUUUUUUUAAAUUGUCUCUUGAUGUGGUAACGGAACUUAUUUUUUUCUGGUUCUUAAUGUGGGUAUUGCUUUUUGUAAUCCCCCCUAGCCCAUCAGUGUUAAGCAUUUUUAUUUUAAUACCAAGUCUUUGAAAGAGAAUUUUUUUUUAAAAAAUAAAAAACAACUUUUAACAACGGAUCUCUAGGCUCUCA